AUCGAACGCUGGCGGCAUGCUUUACACAUGCAAGUCGAACGGCAGCGGGGUAGUGCUUGCACUACUGUCCGGCGAGUGGCGAACGGGUGAGUAAUAUAUCGGAACGUACCGAGUAAUGGGGGAUAACCAAUCGAAAGAUUGGCUAAUACCGCAUACGUCCUAAGGGAGAAAGCGGGGGAUCGCAAGACCUCGCGUUAUUCGAGCGGCCGAUAACUGAUUAGCUAGUUGGUGGGGUAAGGGCCUACCAAGGCGACGAUCAGUAGCGGGUCUGAGAGGACGAUCCGCCACACUGGGACUGAGACACGGCCCAGACUCCUACGGGAGGCAGCAGUGGGGAAUUUUGGACAAUGGGGGCAACCCUGAUCCAGCCAUGCCGCGUGUAUGAAGAAGGGCUUCGGGUUGUAAAGUACUUUUGUUAGGGAAGAAAAGGGAAGUGCUAAUACCACUUUUUGCUGA
rnacentral:rRNA from 1 species